CUUGGUCAUUUAGAGGAAGUAAAAGUCGUAACAAGGUUUCCGUAGGUGAACCUGCGGAAGGAUCAUUACAGAAUAAACUUGAUGGGUUGUAGCUGGUUCUCUCGGGAGCAUGUGCUCGCCUGUCACUUUUGUUUUUCCACCUGUGCACCAUUUGUAGCCUUGGAAUUAUAAAACUAUCUGAAUGCUUUUCAGUAUGAGGGUUUGCUGGGCCACACUUGGCUAAGCUUCCCUUGCUUGUUUCAAGGCUAUGUUUUCUUUUAUACACCCCUGUAGUAUGCCUCAGAAUGAUAUUCAAGGGCCCCUAGUGCCUAUAAAGUUUAUACAACUUUCAGCAACGGAUCUCUUGGCUCUCGCAUCGAUGAAGAACGCAGCGAAAUGCGAUAAGUAAUGUGAAUUGCAGAUUUUCAGUGAAUCAUCGAAUCUUUGAACGCACCUUGCGCCCUCUGGUAUUCCGGAGGGCAUGCCUGUUUGAGUGUCAUGUAGACUCAAUCCCUCGGGUUUCCGAGGAGAUUGGACUUGGGUGUUGCCGCUCUGCCGGCUCGCCUUAAAAGACUUAGCGGGAUAGCACCGUAGUCGGCGUAAUAAGUUUCGUCGGUGAAGGUUGUGAUGACUGCUUACAAUCGCCCUCGGGCAAUUUUUGACUCUGACCUCAAAUCAGGUAGGACUACCCGCUGAACUUAAGCAUAUCAAUAAGCGGAGGA
rnacentral:rRNA from 1 species